GACGAACGCUGGCGGCGUGCUUAACACAUGCAAGUCGAACGAGGUCCACCGCGUAGCAAUACAAGGGAAGACCUAGUGGCGAACGGGUGCGUAACACGUGAGGAACUUGUCCCGGUCUCUGGGAUAACAGUUGGAAACGACUGCUAAUACCGGAUGACGUCGGAAUCUCGCAUGGGAUACUGACGAAAGGGUUACUGGAUCGGGAGAGCCUCGCGGCCUAUCAGCUUGUUGGUGAGGUAACGGCUCACCAAGGCAUCGACGGGUAGCUGGUCUGAGAGGAUGAUCAGCCACACUGGGACUGAGACACGGCCCAGACUCCUACGGGAGGCAGCAGUGGGGAAUCUUGCGCAAUGGGCGAAAGCCUGACGCAGCAACGCCGCGUGCGGGAAGAAGGCCCUCGGGUUGUAAACCGCUUUCAGUAGGAACGAAAAUGACGGUACCUGCAGAAGAAGGUGCGGCCAACUACGUGCCAGCAGCCGCGGUAAAGU
rnacentral:rRNA from 1 species